rnacentral:rRNA from 1 species
GAUGAACGCUGGCGGCGUGCCUAAUACAUGCAAGUCGAGCGAACGGACGAGAAGCUUGCUUCUCUGAUGUUAGCGGCGGACGGGUGAGUAACACGUGGAUAACCUACCUAUAAGACUGGGAUAACUUCGGGAAACCGUAGCUAAUACCGGAUAAUAUUUUGAACCGCAUGGUUCAAAAGUGAAAGACGGUCUUGCUGUCACUUAUAGAUGGAUCCGCGCUGCAUUAGCUAGUUGGUAAGGUAACGGCUUACCAAGGCAACGAUGCAUAGCCGACCUGAGAGGGUGGUCGGCCACACUGGAACUGAGACACGGUCCAGACUCCUACGGGAGGCAGCAGUAGGGAAUCUUCCGCAGUGGGCGAAAGCCUGACGGAGCAACGCCGCGUGAGUGAUGAAGGUCUUCGGAUCGUAAAACUCUGUUAUUAGGGAAGAACAUAUGUGUAAGUAACUGUGCACAUCUUGACGGUACCUAAUCAGAAAGCCACGGCUAACUACGUG